rfam:Loxodonta africana unplaced genomic scaffold scaffold_0, whole genome shotgun sequence.
AUACUUACCUGGCAGGGAAGAUACCAUGAUCACGGAGGUGGUUUUCCCAGGGCAAGGCAUAUCCCUUGCACUCCAGAUAUGCUGACACCUGCAGUUUCCCCUAAUGCAGGAAACUUGACCACAUAAUUUGUGGUAACAAGAAUGAAAAAAAAAAAGAAUUUUAU